rnacentral:rRNA from 1 species
UACGGGGGGAGCAAGCGUUGUUCGGAUUUACUGGGCGUAAAGGGCGCGUAGGCGGCCACCGCAAGUCGAUUGUGAAAUCUCCGGGCUUAACUCGGAAAGGUCAACCGAUACUGCGGGGCUAGAGUGCAGAAGGGGCAACUGGAAUUCUCGGUGUAGCGGUGAAAUGCGUAGAUAUCGAGAGGAACACCUGCGGCGAAGGCGGGUUGCUGGGCCGACACUGACGCUGAGGCGCGAAAGCCAGGGGAGCGAACGGG